UCUCUCCUCUCUCUCCCGCACACUCUUCUUUCCUUCUUUUUCUUCUUCUCUCUUCCACCUGACUUCAUCUUCUCCCUCUCUUCCCCUUCGUUCCCACACAGCAGCUCACAUCUUCUCUUUCCCCUUCCCUUUCUUCUUCCUCUCGUCUCACUUGCACUCAUGCACACAUAGCUGGACUUGAGGAAGAGUCCGUUGACCCGUGGAGACUGGAGAGAACCCGAGGGGUUCUGAUGAGUCCAUGAAGAAAAUCGGACCACCGGAGGUCUGAUUUCCGGUGGUCGUCGUUUGUGAAGCCGGUAGAGACCCGUGUGAGAGGCGGGUCGACUGAGAAAAAUAAAGAGGACCCGAUCCUCCAACGAUUUUCAGUGGGUCAUCCCAGAAGGCUUUUCCAGCGAAAUCAGGGGCUGAUUCCGGCGGUUUGGAGGUGCGAAAUCUAGUGACACUUCCUAUGAUCCUUGAGCUCGGUCUUAGUAGAUGAUGUUCCUUUGGCUGUAGGUACUCCGGUCAUAGUUGAUGGUGUUGUAGAUGUGCACUUGAGAUAUUAUGACCGAAGCUCGCCGCGACGGUAGUAAUUGCGGGACCAUGGGCGUCCUCUGCUUCAUGGGUUUGUUUAUGGCUUGUGACGUUUGUGUCACUGGUUGUUGUAUAAGUCAUUUAUGUUAUGUAUUUAAUUUGAGGAAAGACUUAAACAAAUAGAUGUAAUAUUAGCUCUUGAAUAUGAUUAAUUUAUGAUAGAGUUUUAAGA